rnacentral:rRNA from 1 species
CAGCAGCCACGGUAAUACGUAGGUCCCGAGCGUUGUCCGGAUUUAUUGGGCGUAAAGCGAGCGCAGGCGGUUUGAUAAGUCUGAAGUUAAAGGCUGUGGCUCAACCAUAGUUCGCUUUGGAAACUGUCAAACUUGAGUGCAGAAGGGGAGAGUGGAAUUCCAUGUGUAGCGGUGAAAUGCGUAGAUAUAUGGAGGAACACCGGUGGCGAAAGCGGCUCUCUGGUCUGUAACUGACGCUGAGGCUCGAAAGCGUGGGGAGCGAACAGGAUUAGAUACCCGCGUAGUCCCUGUCUCUUAUACA